rnacentral:rRNA from 1 species
AGUGAACGCUGGCGGUAGGCCUAACACAUGCAAGUCGAACGGCAGCGCAGUAAGAGUUUGCUCUUACGGGUGGCGAGUGGCGGACGGGUGAGGAAUACAUCGGAAUCUACUUUUUCGUGGGGGAUAACGUAGGGAAACUUACGCUAAUACCGCAUACGACCUACGGGUGAAAGCAGGGGAUCUUCGGACCUUGCGCGAUUGAAUGAGCCGAUGUCGGAUUAGCUAGUUGGCGGGGUAAAGGCCCACCAAGGCGACGAUCCGUAGCUGGUCUGAGAGGAUGAUCAGCCACACUGGAACUGAGACACGGUCCAGACUCCUACGGGAGGCAGCAGUGGGGAAUAUUGGACAAUGGGCGCAAGCCUGAUCCAGCCAUACCGCGUGGGUGAAGAAGGCCUUCGGGUUGUAAAGCCCUUUUGUUGGGAAAGAAAAGCAGCAGGUUAAUACCCCGCUGUUCUGACGGUACCCAAAGAAUAAGCACCGGCUAACUUCGUG